rnacentral:rRNA from 1 species
GACGAACGCUGGCGGCGUGCCUAAUACAUGCAAGUCGAACGCACAGUUUAUACCGUAGCUUGCUACACCAUAGACUGUGAGUUGCGAACGGGUGAGUAACGCGUAGGUAACCUGCCUGGUAGCGGGGGAUAACUAUUGGAAACGAUAGCUAAUACCUCAUAAUAUUAAUUAUUGCAUGAUAAUUAAUUGAAAGGUGCAAUUGCACCACUACCAGAUGGACCUGCGUUGUAUUAGCUAGUAGGUGAGGUAACGGCUCACCUAGGCGACGAUACAUAGCCGAACUGAGAGGGUGAUCGGCCACCCUGGGACUGAGACACGGCCCAGACGCCUACGGGAGGCAGCAGGAGGGAAUCUUCGGCCAUGGACGAAAGUCUGACCGAGAAACGCCGCGGGAGGGAAGAAGGUUCUCGGAUCGGAAAGCUCUGUUGUAAGAGAAGAAAGGGUGUGAGAGUGGAAAGUUCACACUGUGACGGUAUCUUACCAGAAAGGGACGGCUAACUACGUG